UACGUAGGGUGCAAGCGUUAAUCGGAAUUACUGGGCGUAAAGCGUGCGCAGGCGGCUUUGCAAGACAGAUGUGAAAUCCCCGGGCUUAACCUGGGAACUGCAUUUGUGACUGCAUGGCUGGAGUGCGGCAGAGGGGGAUGGAAUUCCGCGUGUAGCAGUGAAAUGCGUAGAUAUGUGGAGGAACACCGAUGGCGAAGGCAGCCCCCUGGGCUAACACUGACGCUCAUGCACGAAAGCGUGGGGAGCAAACAGG
rnacentral:rRNA from 1 species